rnacentral:tRNA from 1 species
UAGCUCAGUGGUAGAGCGCUUGCCUAGGAAGCACGAGGCCCUGGGUUCGGUCCCCAG